rnacentral:rRNA from 1 species
GAUGAACGCUAGCUACAGGCUUAACACAUGCAAGUCGAGGGGCAGCAUGGUCUUAGCUUGCUAAGGCCGAUGGCGACCGGCGCACGGGUGAGUAACACGUAUCCAACCUGCCGUCUACUCUUGGACAGCCUUCUGAAAGGAAGAUUAAUACAAGAUGGCAUCAUGAGUUCACAUGUUCACAUGAUUAAAGGUAUUCCGGUAGACGAUGGGGAUGCGUUCCAUUAGAUAGUAGGCGGGGUAACGGCCCACCUAGUCUUCGAUGGAUAGGGGUUCUGAGAGGAAGGUCCCCCACAUUGGAACUGAGACACGGUCCAAACUCCUACGGGAGGCAGCAGUGAGGAAUAUUGGUCAAUGGGCGAGAGCCUGAACCAGCCAAGUAGCGUGAAGGAUGACUGCCCUAUGGGUUGUAAACUUCUUUUAUAAAGGAAUAAAGUCGGGUAUGCAUACCCGUUUGCAUGUACUUUAUGAAUAAGGAUCGGCUAACUCCGUGCCAGCAGCCGCGGUAAUACGGAGGAUCCGAGCGUUAUCCGGAUUUAUUGGGUUUAAAGGGAGCGUAGAUGGAUGUUUAAGUCAGUUGUGAAAGUUUGCGGCUCAACCGUAAAAUUGCAGUUGAUACUGGAUGUCUUGAGUGCAGUUGAGGCAGGCGGAAUUCGUGGUGUAGCGGUGAAAUGCUUAGAUAUCACGAAGAACUCCGAUUGCGAAGGCAGCCUGCUAAGCUGCAACUGACAUUGAGGCUCGAAAGUGUGGGUAUCAAACAGG